GGGAAUAUUGCACAAUGGGCGAAAGCCUGAUGCAGCAACGCCGCGUGAGUGAUGAAGGCCUUCGGGUUGUAAAGCUCUGUCUUCUGGGACGAUAAUGACGGUACCAGAGGAGGAAGCCACGGCUAACUACGUGCCAGCAGCCGCGGUAAUACGUAGGUGGCAAGCGUUGUCCGGAUUUACUGGGCGUAAAGGAUGCGUAGGCGGAUACUUAAGUCAGAUGUGAAAAUCCCGUGCUUAACUUGGGAACUGCAUUUGUAACUGGGUAUCUAGAGUGCGGGAGAGGAAAGUGGAAUUCCGAGUGUAGCGGUGAAAUGCGUAGAGAUUAGGAAGAACACCAGUGGCGAAGGCGACUUUCUGGACCGUAACUGACGCUGAGGCAUGAAAGCGUGGGGAGCAAACA
rnacentral:rRNA from 1 species